rnacentral:rRNA from 1 species
UACCACAUCCAAGGAAGGCAGCAGGCACGCAAAUUACCCAAUCCCAGCUCUGGGAGGUAGUGACGAAAAAUAACAAUGCGGGACUCUUCCGAGUCUGCGUAAUUGGAAUGAGCACACUUUAAAUCCUUUAGCAACAACCAAUUGGAGGGCAAGUCUGGUGCCAGCAGCCGCGGUAAUUCCAGCUCCAAUAGCGUAUAUUAAAGUUGUUGCGGUUAAAAAGCUCGUAGUUCGAGCUCAGUUCCGGACUGGCUGGGGAGGUCACCGCCCGGUGCUUCCCCGUCAGGCUCCGAACAGCUUCCGUGAGUGGAAGCCAAGCCGGUUCUGCCGGGGUGCUCUUUACCGAGUGUCCCGCGCGGCCGGCCAGUUCACCUUGAAUAAAUGAGAGUGCUCAAAGCAGGCUACUCUCGAAUACAAUGCCCGAAUGUUACCUGCAUGGAAUGAUGGAAGAUGAUCUCGGUUCCAUUUUCUUGGUGGUGGGAGCCAGAGGUAAUGAUAAAGAGGGACUGUCGGGGGCAUC